UACGUAGGGUGCAAGCGUUGUCCGGAAUUAUUGGGCGUAAAGAGCUCGUAGGCGGUCUGUCGCGUCUGCUGUGAAAACUCGGGGCUUAACCCCGGGCCUGCAGUGGGUACGGGCAGACUAGAGUGCGGUAGGGGAGACUGGAAUUCCUGGUGUAGCGGUGAAAUGCGCAGAUAUCAGGAGGAACACCGAUGGCGAAGGCAGGUCUCUGGGCCAUAACUGACGCUGAGGUGCGAAAGCGUGGGGAGCAAACAGG
rnacentral:rRNA from 1 species